rnacentral:rRNA from 1 species
GACAGAGGGUGCAAACGUUGUUCGGAAUUACUGGGCGUAAAGCGCGUGUAGGCGGCUUUGCAAGUCGGGCGUGAAAUCCCACGGCUCACCCGUGGAAGUGCACUCGAAACUGCAGAGCUAGAGUCCUGGAGAGGAAGGUGGAAUGCUUGGUGGAGAGGUGAAAGUCGUAGAUAUCAAGCGGAGCACCGGUGGCGAAGGCGGCCUUCUGGACAGUGACUGACGCUGAGACGCGAAAGCGUGGGGAGCAAACAGG